CAGGAAGACCUUCUCAAAACCCACCAAAUGCUUCUGUGGUGAGUUGUGCACUGAUGGGGGAGUAGAGAACAAGAAAACUGUAUGGCUUCCGCUCGUUGUUCCCGUGUUCUUGAUUCUCAAAUGCACAUCAAAGGUUAAGUUCUGACAAGUCUGUUCAGCAGCAGCAACUGAUUUGCAUUCUGAAGAGUAACAGACAUGAUUUUCCUCUAAAGGAACAGAUACUAGUCCAGGUGCUUGAGUUAGUUCGUGGCUGAAUUCAGAAUAGCUUAGUCCAUCUCCAAAUGAGUAAACAGUUUCUCCGGUGUAGAACCUGUAGGUUCUG
rnacentral:lncRNA from 1 species